rnacentral:lncRNA from 1 species
AAAAUAACAAAACCUAAGACCCUAAACAUUUCCAGCCGCCACUAGACUCCCACAUCUUCUCUUCUUCUUUAUGAACACCCUCAAAACGACCCUCCACCUCUCCUCCGCCCAAACGAUCCCCCCACGGUUCGAACCCCCAUUGCCCGUCUACCACCCUCGCCGGCCGCGACACCACAAUCACGGUCGUCCAUCUAUUGCCGUCGUCCAGCCUCCUCCCGUCCCCAGUCCAUCGUGAACCGCUGCCUCACGUCUAACUAACAAAACCAACCAGCUUCUGCCUCAACUUCUUCACGUGAGCAGCCCAGCGUCCAAACGACCCCUUUUGUUCCGGUCCAGUUGCCCGCUGUCCUUUAGUCGUCCAGUGAUUGAACCCUCUCUAUAGCCACCAUAGUCGUCGACCAACCCUCCCUCCGUCGACCUCCAUGAAUGUCCAGCACCACGACCGCAACCCUCCAUCCCCAACGACUUGUUCGUGUUCUUCUUCACGAACCAGGACACCUCUCCUCCAUUUUAUCUUCUGCUUAACGACAAAGAUCCAGGACAAGGGAGGCUCAUUUUUUCGCUGGAAGAUAGCUGUUCAUCGCCGGAGUAUUUGUUCCGACCAGGUUAUUUGAAUCCAUUAGGUAUUUUUGCUUAUUUCUUAUGAAUAAGAAGUUAAGUCUCAUGAUGACAUGAAUUUAUUUUCGGAAGAUGAAAUUGAAUCAGUUCUAAAUUUUAUUUGUUAGUUAGUUCAUUGUUCUAUAACGUUUGAGAUCUUGUUAAUCCUUAGUAGUUCCGUACGAAUGUCCGUGAAUCACAACUUUCCUUCACAAGCUGAUUUAGAUAAAAUGAUCUCAAUCUGGUGCUUGUGAUGAAUUACUUGGUCUGACUGAGAUAAAAAGGUAUACGUUAGUUAGGGCCAAGUCAACAUAUAUUUGAGUUAAUGCAUGUUAUCCAUUUAGAGGAUCCGAUAUUUUCCUUUACUGCUUCCAUUAUUGGAGACUAAAAUGCUUUCAUUACUGCUGUCAUUUUGUUGAUCUUUGAAUUAAUGUUUAGUUUAGGCUCAUGAUGCCUUGGUAUAAUUUGUU